rnacentral:rRNA from 1 species
GAUGAACGCUGGCGGCAUGCCUAAGACAUGCAAGUCGAACGAGGUGGCCCAAAGAAGAUUGAGUGCUUGCACAAGAUUGGACUUGGAUUACCACCUAGUGGCGGACGGGUGAGUAACACGUAGGUGACCUACCUUUGAGUUUGGGAUAACUAUUAGAAAUGAUAGCUAAUACCGAAUUAAAUGCAGAUUCGUUUCUGUAUUAAAAGGAGCCUUUAAAGCUUCGCUUAAAGAUGGGCCUGCGGCGUAUUAGCUAGUUGGUGAGGUAAUGGCUUACCAAGGCGACGAUGCGUAGCCGAACUGAGAGGUUGAUCGGCCACAUUGGGACUGAGACACGGCCCAAAUCCUACGGGAGACA